rnacentral:lncRNA from 1 species
UACACCAUAAUGAACCGAGCAGACCCAGCAUCAAAGCGACUAGCACCAAGGCAGCCACGCCUUCUCCCCUGCCAAAGGAAGACACACUUCUGAGGUGCCAGACACUUGCCGAAGCUCCCAACUGCCAAACCUAAUCCCCAGGACACGUGUCGCCACCAUGACCACUUGCACAAAGUCCCACAUUGGAACUUUGUGCAAACCUCCUACUUUCACUUCACUAUAAAUAGAGAACAGUACCCAAGUAAAAAGGGUAACUAUUCUCCCAC